UAGUUUGUUUGAGUUUUCCUUAUAAUGGUUUUUUAAGUAUGAUAUUAUUUUGGGUCUCUAAAAAUAUCAGUCUUAUUUUUGGGUAUUGGAAAUAUCAGUGUACGUUAUCAUUUAUAUCAUUUUGCUGGAUAUUAUUCUCUUAGUUUAUUAUGUUAUAACAGGUUUGAAAUGAGAGCUUUUCAAGGUAUUUAGUUAAUUAAAGAAUCUACUUUAAUAUUAAAAUAGCAGUUUCGAUCUAUAGUAAUUUAUUUUACCGGAAGAAAAAACAAUUUAAAUUCGGAUUGCAGUUUAUUAAGGAGUUUUACUGCAGGUUGGAGUGUUACAUAUUAUUCUUAAUCUAUGGAAUGCAGUUUAUUAAGGAGUUUGAAAUAUGGUUUUAAUUCGAAGUGUUAUUUUUUUUAAGGUAACAGGUUUAUUGAAGUUGGUUAGAAAAAGAAGUCUAAACCUUAUAUUCUUUAUUUCCUUAAUUUUAGCCUGUUAUAUCUUUGAAUUGAUGUUCUGGAAUUAUCUGAUAUCAGUUACCAACAUCAAAGAGCUAAUAUCUCUAUCUUAUUGUUCAAAUACUCAGUCAUUCAUGCUAACUGAUUAAACUAGUCGUUGCUUGCAUGCUAUAUAUAUUCAUCCUGCUGGGCAAAAGGUGGGACCACACAAGAAGCUGAAAAUCAUCAUCGAGUACAUCCAUAGAAUUUUAUAAAUCCGAUUACAGUUAUUGUAUUUAUCUUUUAUAUUCUUUUUAAGAUGGAAAAAACACUGUAAUACUUCAUAAUUUUUGUAAUCCGAGUGCAAGCCUGUUUUGACUUGGGAUAUUGUAAUAGGUAUUAUGUUCAAAGGUAGUCUCAAGAUCUCAGAAGUGAGAAAAGUUGCAGAGGUGCAAGGGGACAGAGGUGCAAGAGGACAGAGGUGUCCAAGUCAGAUUCGAGCAACUUUGAACAAGGAGUUCUUUUUAUUGUAUUUAAUUGAGUAUCAAGUUUAAUAAAAGGACUCUCCAAUACUAGUUGGUAUUAGACGUGAAUUAGGCCACUGGAUUAUAGGAUAGGGGCUGAACGUAAAAAUCUUAGCGUGAUUUACUGUUCUUUUCUUUUCUGUUAUAUGAUUUAGUAUUCUGCAGAUUCUGGUUUAGUUUGUGCUCAAAAUUAUAUUAAAAUAGACAUGUAUUAGUUGUCCGAUUAGAACAGACGAAGAACAUAUACUAAUACAAACAGGUAUUAGUUGUCCGAUUAGAACAGACGAAGAACAUAUACUAAUAUAGACAGGGUUAGCCUGUCCGAUUAUAAUUUGCAUUAGUAUACUUUAAAAAUUAUCACUGUAAAUUACUUUUAGAUAUUUACAUCUAUUCAUCCAUCUCUAGGUGUACUUAAUUACAAAAUUAUACAAUUAUAUAUAACUGUUAAUCUUGAAAAAAAUAAAAUUGAAGAAAAUAAAAUCUUAAAGACUUAUUGAGUAAACAACACUGGCUAGUGGCUACUAUAUAUACUUGUUAGUUAUACCAUUAUUAAUUUUUAAGUUAAAUAUUGUUUUAAUAUAGUCUUUAGCACACUUUUUCAUUCAUGUACAAAGCCUAAUAUUGUAUAUAAGAUGAUAUGUAAG
rnacentral:lncRNA from 1 species